GGAUGGGAUCAGAUAUAGUAGGCUAUUUCUUCCGGGUUGAGGUAGUAAAGGGAGGGAUGAGCACUGAUGCUGCUGCCUCUGUUUGCUCCAGUCUGCACAUCAGCAGCGGAUCUUCUCUCAGACUCAAGCCAGGCAGAGGCAGAGCGUCCGCCCGGGGAGAGAGAUCACACCGCAUAGCGUUACUCCCGGAUGAACCUCAGUUACACUCACGGUCCUUUUUAAAUUGAUGUAUCUUCUUAUACCGCCUUUUUACACUGGACGGUGCUCUUGUACCCGUGUAUCAUCCCCGGCUUGGUUUUUUGAGGUUUGUCUCGACGACACGGAAAGGACCACACUCCCCCCAUCGUUAGCUCGCUAAGCUAGCUAGCCCGCUAACCUAGCUGUGAUACUUUGUACCAUAUCGGCGUCAGUUUUCUGCCUCGUAGCUAGCCUGCGGUCUCUUGCGCCACAGCGGUGGAUUGAGGUGCCCUGUCACUCUAGGAACAUGAUCGAGUGACAAGCUAAGGAGGAAGUGGGAUCUCUGACGCUCCGCCCCUUCUGUUGGUGGAGCACCCUGCACAUCUGACUAGAGACCUCUUUAGUCACUUGGACAGAAAAUCCAGGUAGACUAUUGUGGUUAGUAGGCAGGGAAAUCCUGCUGUGAUGCCAGAGCCUCAUAAAUCCUGCCUGCUUGGCAUGAGUAGCGGUAGAAGAGCAGCGCUGAGAGAAGCUGACACACAACAGAGGCCAGACACACAAACAUGCCAGGUCAGACAGCUCAGACUGUAAGUAUUGGGAUUUGAUCAGUGUGCGUUAGUUAACACACAUUAUGUGACAGUGUGUGUUAA